rnacentral:rRNA from 1 species
GAUGAACGCUGGCGGCGUGCCUAAUACAUGCAAGUCGAGCGAACAGACGAGGAGCUUGCUCCUCUGACGUUAGCGGCGGACGGGUGAGUAACACGUGGAUAACCUACCUAUAAGACUGGGAUAACUUCGGGAAACCGGAGCUAAUACCGGAUAAUAUAUUGAACCGCAUGGUUCAAUAGUGAAAGACGGUUUUGCUGUCACUUAUAGAUGGAUCCGCGCCGCAUUAGCUAGUUGGUAAGGUAACGGCUUACCAAGGCAACGAUGCGUAGCCGACCUGAGAGGGUGAUCGGCCACACUGGAACUGAGACACGGUCCAGACUCCUACGGGAGGCAGCAGUAGGGAAUCUUCCGCAAUGGGCGAAAGCUUGACGGAGCAACGCCGCGUGAGUGAUGAAGGUCUUCGGAUCGUAAAACUCUGUUAUUAGGGAAGAGCAAAUGUGUAAGUAACUAUGCACGUCUUGACGGUACCUAAUCAGAAAGCCGCGGCUAACUACGUG